GGAUAAAGAAGGAGAAUUUCGAUGUGAAAACAGAGAGAGAAAGAGAUGAGAUUUUUUUUUUUUCAUGAGAAGGGGAUACGAAUUCUCUAUCAUCCCAAUAAAUAGGAAAAAUGUUUUACUUGCAAAAACAAGAACCGGGGUUAGAGUAUUUGUCCCAUUCCUAUCCUGCUUACCGAAAACCGAACCCGGUAAACUCUUUUCUUCAACCUGCGACUCUCCUUAUCCGACUGGAGUUUGAGUGAGUAACAAUGGUUAAAGGGGUAGUUGGAGAGGAAACUCAAGUUAAAUUAGCCGAAGAUUGCCUCUCUCAAUCUACUUUCCCUUCCCGGGUUGGUCUUCUGAUAGCCAAGCUAAGCUCCACUGCAGACCGAGGCUUUGUCUUCGAUUUAAUCCCCACCCCUCGUAACGGUGCCGGAUAGGUAGCUUGUUUGCUCAAUAAAACCACCUCCAAAGACGAAAAGAAGAAGGCCUCCAAAUCCAAAUUUCAACCCUUCAAUUUUCCCUCUUUGGUCAUCGACCAGGAUUGGGUAGCCGAACAUGCGCGUCAGGUAAAUCACACUGAGAAAAAGCCUUUUUUGUUAAUCAACAUUAAACUGUUUAAGAAUUAAUGACUUGCUGAUUUUAAUUUUCGAGAAUGCUAUAAGGAGUUAUGAAAGUGAUUGGUAUUUAUAUGUGGGCUAGUGAUGCAGCGUUCAAAAAUUCUACUGUCUUUCUUCACCAGAACGUGAAUGGAGUUGCAAGAGCAGCGCCUUUUAUGGGAAUAGAUGGUGGAGGUUUAACUAAAGAGUUAAACUUGUGUUGGUGGACAUGUGGGAAUUGCCUGGUAGCUUCAAAUACUAUCACGUUGGCGACCUCAAGGCCGUGAGAUUUUAAGGUCGGAAAGGUCUUAAAUUCUCUUCAAACUUUUAAGUGCACCUACAACUUCAGUAUUGGAUUGCCAAUAUGUAAUGAGGGUGCUCCAAAUGCCCCAACAUUCGGUGACAUUCUAAGGACAUCUGAGGUUGGCAGGCAUAUUUGUUGGAGACUUUUUGCAAUCAUCAGAGACGCAUGAGGUUCUUAAGGAUCAUUUUGCUGAGUUGAUGUCCAUGGAACCUGUCUCUGAUUGCUCAUAGAUCUUGGAAGCUGAAGUAGAAGCCCCCACAGUUAUCGUCUCUAAAUCCUUUUGGGAUGUAGCAGAUACCUAUCACUCAGGAUUGAACUCUACCUCAGAGAAUAAAGCAAUUGACGCAAAGGACAAAAGCAAACAACCUGUGAAGAAAUCUAAUUACAUCAUCAUUGCUGGUGUGUUUUUCCUUAUUCUCUCAAAUUUAGUAGGUUUACUGCUUUCUAUUAAGAGACUAUAGCUCAUUAAGUAAAUUUUUGGUAGGCUUAUUGCAGCUGUCAUUCUUAAUAGUGGCUAAGAGGGGGAAAUUGAAUGUGAUAUCACUUUUAUUGAUAAAAGAGUUAAAUUGACACUGGAAAGUGGAAACACCAAAAUUUUUAUUUGCUACAA